CCCGUUACCCGGGUUGCGGACAGUGUCUGGUGGGUAGUUUGACUGGGGCGGUCUCCUCCUAAAGAGUAACGGAGGAGCACGAAGGUUGGCUAAUCCUGGUCGGACAUCAGGAGGUUAGUGCAAUGGCAUAAGCCAGCUUGACUGCGAGCGUGACGGCGCGAGCAGGUGCGAAAGCAGGUCAUAGUGAUCCGGUGGUUCUGAAUGGAAGGGCCAUCGCUCAACGGAUAAAAGGUACUCCGGGGAUAACAGGCUGAUACCGCCCAAGAGUUCAUAUCGACGGCGGUGUUUGGCACCUCGAUGUCGGCUCAUCACAUCCUGGGGCUGAAGUAGGUCCCAAGGGUAUGGCUGUUCGCCAUUUAAAGUGGUACGCGAGCUGGGUUUAGAACGUCGUGAGACAGUUCGGUCCCUAUCUGCCGUGGGCGCUGGAGAACUGAGGGGGGCUGCUCCUAGUACGAGAGGACCGGAGUGGACGCAUCACUGGUGUUCGGGUUGUCAUGCCAAUGGCACUGCCCGGUAGCUAAAUGCGGAAGAGAUAAGUGCUGAAAGCAUCUAAGCACGAAACUUGCCCCGA
rnacentral:rRNA from 1 species